UACGUAGGGGGCAAGCGUUAUCCGGAUUUACUGGGUGUAAAGGGAGCGUAGACGGCGAAGCAAGUCUGAAGUGAAAGGCGGGGGCCCAACCCCCGGACUGCUUUGGAAACUGUAUGGCUGGAGUGCAGGAGAGGUAAGUGGAAUUCCUAGUGUAGCGGUGAAAUGCGUAGAUAUUAGGAGGAACACCAGUGGCGAAGGCGGCUUACUGGACUGUAACUGACGUUGAGGCUCGAAAGCGUGGGGAGCAAACAGG
rnacentral:rRNA from 1 species